UAAAUUGAAGGGUACAACUGGAGAAAUCCAGUGUCACAAAGCUAUAGGGGCUAAUGAUUGGAUUCAUCCGGUCGAUGUCAGCCAGCUGCCAUU
rnacentral:ncRNA from 1 species